GCAGACACAGGAGCCUGCCUCAGCUAUGCUGGAAAGGUUUAGCUGUGAUGCUAACUGUGUUUCUAAACUGGAUUAGAAACACUGAGUUUAAUGACAGACCCCUCAGCCCCUGUGUAAGGUGCGGCUAGUGGCCCCUCCCAUCACACCCCACACUAGUGAGCUCAACCCAGAUGGAUAAGAAGACAUGGAACCCACUGCCACAGUUUGCCUGACAUUUAUCUACAUAACAGAUUGUGUUCACUCAGACCCAGAGAGGCAGAAAAGCAGAACUAGAUGCACUCUAUGGAUCCAGAGCCCUGGGAGGACGAAGCCUUGCCUAGUGAAGCAUGACAGCCACUGCGUUCCUCCUGACCCAGGGGCAGCUUUACAGGGACGGUACACUGAGCCAGGUCAGGAUCACUGGCUAAUCAGGCAGCUCUGUCAUCUUAAAGUAGAUCCCAAAUACCUGUUCUUUUGUAGUUAUGUUAUAUUAUAAGUUAUAAUGAUGCUAUUUGAUCUCCCUGCUGAAGUAAAUGGGCAAGGAUUAUGUGUUUUAUUUAAGUUGAACACCUAAAAGGUCAA